rnacentral:rRNA from 1 species
UGGGGAAUUUUGGACAAUGGGGGAAACCCCGAUCCAGCCAUCCCGCGUGUGCGAUGAAGGCCUUCGGGUUGUAAAGCACUUUUGGCAGGAAAGAAACGUCAUGGGUUAAUACCCCGUGAAACUGACGGUACCUGCAGAAUAAGCCCCGGCUAACUACGUGCCAGCAGCCGCGGUAAUACGUAGGGUGCAAGCGUUAAUCGGAAUUACUGGGCGUAAAGCGUGCGCAGGCGGUUCGGAAAGAAAGAUGUGAAAUCCCAGAGCUCAACUUUGGAACUGCAUUUUUAACUACCGGGCUAGAGUGUGUCAGAGGGAGGUGGAAUUCCGCGUGUAGCAGUGAAAUGCGUAGAUAUGCGGAGGAACACCGAUGGCGAAGGCAGCCUCCUGGGAUAACACUGACGCUCAUGCACGAAAGCGUGGGGAGCAAACAGG